rnacentral:rRNA from 1 species
GACGAACGCUGGCGGCGUGCUUAACACAUGCAAGUCGAACGGAAAGGCCCUGCUUUUGUGGGGUGCUCGAGUGGCGAACGGGUGAGUAACACGUGAGUAACCUGCCCUUGACUUUGGGAUAACUUCAGGAAACUGGGGCUAAUACCGGAUAGGAGCUCCUGCUGCAUGGUGGGGGUUGGAAAGUUUCGGCGGUUGGGGAUGGACUCGCGGCUUAUCAGCUUGUUGGUGGGGUAGUGGCUUACCAAGGCUUUGACGGGUAGCCGGCCUGAGAGGGUGACCGGCCACAUGGGGACUGAGUUACGGCCCAGACUCCUACGGGAGGCAGCAGUGGGGAAUAUUGCACAAUGGGCGGAAGCCUGAUGCAGCAACGCCGCGGGCGGGAUGACGGCCUUCGGGUUGUAAACCGCUUUCGCCUGUGACGAAGCGUGAGUGACGGUAAUGGGUAAAGAAGCACCGGCUAACUACGU